rnacentral:rRNA from 1 species
GAUGAACGCUGGCGGCGUGCCUAAUACAUGCCAGUCGAGCGAACGGACGAGAAGCUUGCUUUUCUGAUGUUAGCGGCGGACGGGUGAGUAACACGUGGAUAACCUACCUAUAAGACUGGGAUAACUUCGGGAAACCGGAGCUAAUACCGGAUAAUAUUUUGAACCGCAUGGUUCAAAAGUGAAAGACGGUCUUGCUGUCACUUAUAGAUGGAUCCGCGCUGCAUUAGCUAGUUGGUAAGGUAACGGCUUACCAAGGCAACGAUGCAUAGCCGACCUGAGAGGGGGAGGGGGCAGCAUGGGACUGAGACCCGGUACAGACGCCAACGGGAGGCAGCAGUGGGGAGUGGUUGGCGAUGGGCGAAAGACUGAAAGAGCAACUCAGCGUGAAUGAUGAAAGUCGUCGGAACGUGAAACCCUGUUAACAGUGAAGAACAUAAGAGCAAGGAACUGCGCCCCUCCUGACGGAACGUAAUGAGAAAGCCACGGCUAACUACC